UACGGGGGGGGCAAGCGUUGUUCGGAAUUACUGGGCGUAAAGGGCGCGUAGGCGGUUUGCUAAGUUGAAUGUGAAAACUCUGGGCUUAACCCAGAGCCUGCAUUCAAUACUGGCAGGCUGGAGUUCUGGAGGGGAUAGCGGAAUUCCUGGUGUAGCGGUGAAAUGCGUAGAUAUCUGGAGGAACACCGGUGGCGAAGGCGGCAUCCUGGACCGACACUGACGCUGAGGCGCGAAAGCUAGGGUAGCAAACGGG
rnacentral:rRNA from 1 species